UACGUAGGUGGCGAGCGUUAUCCGGAUUUAUUGGGUUUAAAGGGUGCGUAGGCGGCUUUUUAAGUCAGCGGUGAAAUUUUGCAGCUUAACUGUAACAGUGCCGUUGAUACUGGGGAGCUAGGAUUUGGUUGCUGUGGGUGGAAUGUGUGGUGUAGCGGUGAAAUGCGUAGAUAUUACACAGAACACCAAUUGCGUAGGCAGCUUACUGAGCCGACACUGACGCUGAGGCACGAAAGCGUGGGGAUCGAACAGGAUUAGAUACCCG
rnacentral:rRNA from 1 species